CCAAAAUGGCGCUUUCCAGGCAGCCAAGAAAGCCGUCGACUCGCAGCAGGCGCUUUGAUCCCGAGAAUGGCGUCGACAUGGGAGAAAUAUUAAAAAUACUAGAAGCACCCGACUCUGAAUGCGACGUCAGUGAUGACGACGACGACAGCGACUUUCUUGAAGACCAAGGGGCGACGCUAGUUGAACAAGUCCCCAUUCGUGGAACCCAGCCCUCCCCUUCGGAUUUCGGUUCCAGUCUGUCUACCAACGUCAAGAUGACGUUUCUCGGGUAGAGGUCUAUUCUGCUUCAAAACACUUUUCAGUAGAAGUUUUCUUUUUCUUGGCUUUUCAAAAUCUUUUUAAAGAAAGGAUUCGUCACAUUCCCGGGUUCGCAGAACCUUCCUCGGAUUCGGAUUCGGGUUCGCAAAAUUCUGGAUUUGUCCCAUAUCCCUACUUUGUAGCUAAAGGCGUAACACCGCCAGAAGCCCCCUGAUUUCUGCCGGUACAGCCCACCUUCGUAAGUCUUCCGAAUCUUCUGAAACUAUGAGAUCGCGUUCUCGCUCAUGUUCUUCGAGCCCAUUUUUAUGCCCUGGUAGACGAGAAGUCUUCUAAGUCUGCAGCAGCAUAUACAGAUGGCGCAUCCAGAAAUGGCAAGUCCGCCUCAGCAAUCGUCGGACCAUCCGAAGACGUAGUGCAAGGACGACGCCUUUCGCAUCCAUCUCAUCAACAGCUGCGGAACUCUAUGCCAAUCUUUGUGUGCGUGUGUGUGUGUGUCUGCAGCGCAUAAUUGAUUUUAUUUCGCGGGAAUGGGCAAUGUUGCGGAUUAAAGGAGGUCGACGUGGA